CACGUAGGGGGCAAGCGUUGUCCGGAUUUAUUGGGCGUAAAGAGCUCGUAGGCGGCUCAGUAAGUCAGGUGUGAAACCUCCAGGCUCAACCUGGAGACGCCACCUGAUACUGCUGUGGCUAGAGUCCGGUAGGGGAGCGUGGAAUUCCUGGCGUAGCGGUGAAAUGCGCAGAUAUCAGGAGGAACACCAGCGGCGAAGGCGGCGCUCUGGGCCGGAACUGACGCUGAGGAGCGAAAGCGUGGGGAGCGAACAGG
rnacentral:rRNA from 1 species